UACAGAGGUCCCAAGCGUUGUUCGGAUUCACUGGGCGUAAAGGGUGCGUAGGUGGUUAGGUAAGUCCGAUGAUGAAUCUCCACGGCUCAACCUCGAGGCUGCUCCCGAAACUGUUCGUCUAGGGACUGGUAGAGGCUGGUAGAAUUCCCGGUGUAGCGGUGGAAUGCGUAGAGAUCGGGAAGAAUACCCGUGGCGAAGGCGGCCAGCUGGGCCAGGUCCGACGACUGAGGCGACGAA
rnacentral:rRNA from 1 species